ACGAUUACCUCUCACCAAGCCAGAUCAAACCCUAACGCCGUUUCUUGUACCACUCGCAGAAAAUUCCGCAACAAACAGGGAGCAAGAUUAUGCUGUGGAUUGGAUGACACUGGUGGGUGGCCUAGCAAAAUCAUCGAUUCUAGGAAAAUGUGUGAAAAGCCUUGAGAUAUUCAGUGUAUUCUGGGUUAUGCCUAAGGGAUUGCUUGUGAUCAAAUGUCGAUUCUUUGGAAAAAGUUUUAGUUUAUGCAUUCAUCUACUCAUUUGGAUUGUAUUUUCCUGCUUUUGUAAUCUUUGAGCCUUGAGGUAAUUGUGGGAAGGAACGAUGGAGUUGUGUCCACGGCGUUUCAAUUCCGUAAUUCUCUGAUAAUCUUGUAGACUUGUUAAUGGAAUAAUUCGUGUUAUAAAAUAAUUAGAAAGGAAA